GUACCCGUAGCUCAGUUGGUAGAGCACCGGAUUUUUAAUCCGUAGGUCGUAGGUUCGAUUCCUGCCGGGUAUACCA
rnacentral:tRNA from 1 species